rfam:Xenopus laevis strain J chromosome 5L, whole genome shotgun sequence.
GCUGGAAGCUUCAAUAUUUUGUGUGCAGUUCUGCAGUCUGCCCACAGUAGCAAGCUUCCUAUAGAAAUAUGGGGAUCUCUGUCUGGCUUUGCUUAAGUUUGAUGAGUCAGAUCGUUCCUCUCCAUACAUG